rnacentral:rRNA from 1 species
UACGAAGGGGGCGAGCGUUGUUCGGAAUUACUGGGCGUAAAGGGCGCGCAGGCGGCUCGACAAGUCAGAUGUGAAAGCCCCGGGCUCAACCUGGGAACGGCAUUUGGGACUGUCGGGCUAGAGUUCGGGAGAGGUGGGUGGAAUUCCCAGUGUAGAGGUGAAAUGCGUAGAUAUCAGGAGGAACACCUGUGGCGAAAGCGGCUCACUGGACCAUAACUGACGCUGAUGCACGAAAGCUAGGGGAGCAAACAGG